GAGGGUCUCACUUUAUAAACAGGGCUGCUCGCUCUGUAAGCACGUGGUUGAAGACCUGGCAUUCGGGGUUUACUUCUACAACUUUGCUCUCCCCACCUCGAGGAGAAAUGUGCCAUGCAUGUUAUGGCCGUGAAAAGACAGAAAAGAAAGAAGAGAAAGACCUCCUGUAAUUCUCGGAAUGUGUUAGAAAGCAAAGUUCCGCAUUCAGCGCUGAGCCAUGCCCUGGCUCUGCCGGGGCGGAAACGGUGCGGAGGCUUGGAGCGAACUCACUGAAGCCGGAGGAAAAGCUCUCGCCUGUCUCCGCGCUGCUUAUGAAAGACCAGAAUUUCAUCUUUCUCGAGUCCGCACGUGGCGAUGCUGGCGAAGCAGUGAAAAUCCAUCCGUCCUCCCUCUGCUAACGAUAAAAAUACAGAAACUCAGCAAACUAAUCAGGGAGUCUCACCCUGCAGUUCUGGAGCAGAAAACUUAAACGAGUUCUCACGUCACUAAAAUGUCAUCACAUCUUGUGAAAAUGUACCGCAGGAUGCCUGCUUCUCCCCACCUAAGCAGUUCCCCUCCGCUGUGCUUUCACAGUGGCCUCGGUCUUGUUUCUCCCGCUUGCCUUUGUUCCUGUGCUCCUGCUGUCAGUGAAGGUGGCGCAGUUCCAAGGUUUGCCUAUCUUCUCUUGCCCCCUAUCUUCAGAUAUGUGCGGAUUGCAACUUGGCAAGUGACGUGUGUCGUCCUUGAUGGGAAAAAAACACAACCAAAGGCCAGGCAUCUGGCUGUUUUCUAGGACUCAUCUUUUGCUACAAAAAUAGCCAGCUGAGGACUGUGCAGCUACCUCUUCUGGCUCAUCCCCUCUGACGCCCUGACUUCAGCAGUUGGAGGGACGUCCCCUGAUUGGAAGGAAGAUUUCUUGUGCUUUGAAUCUGGGGAUACGGCACCAAGGAUGUCUGACCUCAGAUAUCAGUUUGGUGUUUACUGGGGGUAAAGCCCUCUGCCAGACCUACUCACUAGAACGGGGAAUUACUUGGACAGGCGACGAAUGGUCACAGGCGUUUCUGCACUGCAGCUGGUUUUCUUCUAAGACAAUAUAUUCCGGAAUCCAACAAUCUAUUAAGAUGCUAUGAUUUCAUCAAGAGACGAAUCAGUGCUGAUAAGGGAACCUGUGCCCAAAAGGGGAGCUCAAGAUAACAGAGAAAAGGCACCUUUCUGAUGACUUUCUGUGACCUCUGGUUCCCCACUCCCUUCCUGUUUCCCGGGAUAAUAAACUGGCUUCUGCUGUGCCUCUCUCAUGUGGCAUUCUGGCUAAUCUCUAAUUUCAUCUCCCCGGCUGGAGUGCUCGGAACUCAAGGCCGGGGACUGAGGCUGUCCAGGAAGGUGGCCCCAGCACCUAGCGAAG
rnacentral:lncRNA from 1 species